UACGUAGGGUGCAAGCGUUGUCCGGAAUUAUUGGGCGUAAAGAGCUCGUAGGCGGUCUGUCGCGUCGGAUGUGAAAAUCCAGGGCUCAACCCUGGACCUGCAUUCGAUACGGGCAGACUAGAGUUCGGUAGGGGAGACUGGAAUUCCUGGUGUAGCGGUGAAAUGCGCAGAUAUCAGGAGGAACACCGGUGGCGAAGGCGGGUCUCUGGGCCGAAACUGACGCUGAGGAGCGAAAGCGUAGGGGAGCAAACAGG
rnacentral:rRNA from 1 species